rnacentral:rRNA from 1 species
GUGAGGAAUAUUGGUCAAUGGGCGAGAGCCUGAACCAGCCAAGUCGCGUGAAGGAAGAAGGAUCUAUGGUUCGUAAACUUCUUUUGCAGGGGAAUAAAGUGCAGAACGUGUCCUGUUUUGUAUGUACCCUGAGAAUAAGGAUCGGCUAACUCCGUGCCAGCAGCCGCGGUAAUACGGAGGAUCCGAGCGUUAUCCGGAUUUAUUGGGUUUAAAGGGUGCGUAGGUGGUUUGAUAAGUCAGCGGUGAAAGUUUGCAGCUUAACUGUAAAAAUGCCGUUGAAACUGUCGGACUUGAGUGUAAAUGAGGUAGGCGGAAUGCGUGGUGUAGCGGUGAAAUGCAUAGAUAUCACGCAGAACUCCGAUUGCGAAGGCAGCUUACUAAGCUACAACUGACACUGAAGCACGAAAGCGUGGGGAUCAAACAGGAUUAGAUACCCCGGUAGUCC